UUUGAUAGAGAGAGGCUCACUGGUUGAUGAGGUUGCUGAGGUGUGUGUGUGUAUGUGUGUGUGUGUGUUUGAUAGAGAGGCUCACUGGUUGAUGAGGUUGCUGAGGUGUGUGUGUG